UUAGUUAACCGAAUGAUCGCGCCAAAGUCUUUUGGUGAGGAAAGUCCGGGCUUCGCAGGGCAGGAUGCCGGAUAACGUCCGGUAGGGGUGACCCUCAGGCUAGUGCAACAGAAAUAAACCGCCGGUAUUAGCCGGUAAGGGUGGAAAGGCGGGGUAAGAGCCCACCGCUUGGCUGGUAACAGGCAAGGCACAUGUAAACCCCAUCCGAAGCAAGGCAGGAGAAAAGCUAUGGGCUUGCCCGGUCCGCUUUUCGGUGUGCCGCUGGAGCUUGCUGGCAACAGCAAGUCGAGAUAGAUGAUCAUUUAAGACAGAACCCGGCUUAUAGAUUAGCUAAAUUC
rnacentral:RNase_P_RNA from 19 species